rnacentral:rRNA from 1 species
GACGAACGCUGGCGGCGUGCCUAAUACAUGCAAGUAGAACGCUGAAGCUUGGUGCUUGCACCGAGCGGAUGAGUUGCGAACGGGUGAGUAACGCGUAGGUAACCUGCCUGGUAGCGGGGGAUAACUAUUGGAAACGAUAGCUGAUACCGCAUAACAGUAGAUAUCGCAUGAUAGCUGCUUAAAAGGUGCAAUUGCACCACUACCAGAUGGACCUGCGUUGUAUUAGCUAGUUGGUGAGGUAACGGCUCACCAAGGCGACGAUACAUAGCCGACCUGAGAGGGUGAUCGGCCACACUGGGACUGAGACACGGCCCAG